GAUGAACGCUGGCGGCGUGCCUAAUACACGCAAGUCGAGCGAACAGACGAGGAGCUUGCUCCUCUGACGUUAGCGGCGGACGGGUGAGUAACACGUGGAUAACCUACCUAUAAGACUGGGAUAACUUCGGGAAACCGGAGCUAAUACCGGAUAAUAUAUUGAACCGCAUGGUUCAAUAGUGAAAGACGGUUUUGCUGUCACUUAUAGAUGGAUCCGCGCCGCAUUAGCUAGUUGGUAAGGUAACGGCUUACCAAGGCAACGAUGCGUAGCCGACCUGAGAGGGUGAUCGGCCACACUGGAACUGAGACACGGUCCAGACUCCUACGGGAGGCAGCAGUAGGGAAUCUUCCGCAAUGGGCGAAAGCCUGACGGAGCAACGCCGCGUGAGUGAUGAAGGUCUUCGGAUCGUAAAACUCUGUUAUUAGGGAAGAACAAAUGUGUAAGUAACUAUGCACGUCUUGAGGGUACCUAAUCAGAAAGCCACGGCUAACUACGUG
rnacentral:rRNA from 1 species